GUGGGGAAUAUUGGACAAUGGGCGCAAGCCUGAUCCAGCCAUGCCGCGUGAGUGAUGAAGGCCUUAGGGUUGUAAAGCUCUUUUAUCCGGGACGAUAAUGACGGUACCGGAGGAAUAAGCCCCGGCUAACUUCGUGCCAGCAGCCGCGGUAAUACGAAGGGGGCUAGCGUUGCUCGGAAUCACUGGGCGUAAAGGGCGCGUAGGCGGCGUUUUAAGUCGGGGGUGAAAGCCUGUGGCUCAACCACAGAAUGGCCUUCGAUACUGGGACGCUUGAGUAUGGUAGAGGUUGGUGGAACUGCGAGUGUAGAGGUGAAAUUCGUAGAUAUUCGCAAGAACACCGGUGGCGAAGGCGGCCAACUGGACCAUUACUGACGCUGAGGCGCGAAAGCGUGGGGAGCAAACAGG
rnacentral:rRNA from 1 species